GUCUAUGGCCAUGCCACUCUGAACAUGCUGGAUCUUGUCUGAUCUUGGAAGCUAAGCAGGAUUGGGCUUGCUUAGUUAGUACUUGGAUGAGAAACCACCUAGGAAGACCAGGUGCGCUAUAGGUG
ensembl:rRNA 5S_rRNA 5S ribosomal RNA